rnacentral:rRNA from 1 species
AACGAACGCUGGCGGCGUGCCUAACACAUGCAAGUCGUGCGAGAAAGUUCCUUCGGGAGCGAGUAAAGCGGCGCACGGGUGAGUAACACGUAGGUAACCUGCCCCCCAGUCUGGAACAACUAGAGGAAACUCUAGCUAAUGCCGGAUGAGACCACGAUCCCUUCGGGGUUGCGGCCAAAGAUGGCCUCUACUUGUAAGCUAUCGCUGAGGGAUGGGCCUGCGGGCCAUUAGCUUGUUGGUGAGGUAACGGCUCACCAAGGCUGUGAUGGCUAGCUGGUCUGAGAGGAUGACCAGCCACACUGGGACUGAGACACGGCCCAGACUCCUACGGGAGGCAGCAGUGAGGAAUAUUGCGCAAUGGACGAAAGUCUGACGCAGCGACGCCGCGUGGGGGAUGAAGGUCUUCGGAUUGUAAACCCUUUCGGGAGGGAAGAUGGAGUGGGUAACCACUUGGACGGUACCUCCAGAAGCAGCCACGGCUAACUUCGUGCCAGC